rnacentral:rRNA from 1 species
UACGUAGGUGACGAGCGUUGUCCGGAUUUACUGGGCGUAAAGAGCGCGCAGGCGGUCGUUCAAGUCGAGUGUGAAAGCCCCCCGGCUCAACUGGGGAGGGUCACUCGAUACUGAUCGACUCGAAGGCAGGAGAGGGUAGUGGAAUUCCCGGUGUAGUGGUGAAAUGCGUAGAUAUCGGGAGGAACACCAGUGGCGAAGGCGACUACCUGGCCUGUUCUUGACGCUGAGGCGCGAAAAGCUAGGGGGAGCAAACGGG